UAAUACGUAGGGGGCAAGCGUUGUCCGGAUUUAUUGGGCGUAAAGAGCGUGUAGGCGGCUUUACAGGUCCGUUGUGAAAACUCGAGGCUCAACCUCGAGACGCCGGUGGAAACCGUAAAGCUAGAGUCCGGUAGGGGAGACUGGAAUUCCUGGUGUAGCGGUGAAAUGCGCAGAUAUCAGGAAGAACACCGGUGGCGAAGG
rnacentral:rRNA from 1 species